rnacentral:rRNA from 1 species
AUUGAACGCUGGCGGCAGGCCUAACACAUGCAAGUCGAACGAGUGGCGGACGGGUGAGUAAUGUCUGGGAAAAUGCCCGAUGGAGGGGGAUAACUACUGGAAACAGUAGCUAAUAACGCAUCCCAUCGAAUGAGCCCCGAUGGGAUUAGCUAGUAGGUGGGGUAACGGCGCACCUAGGCGACGGUCCCUAGCUGGUCGGAGAGGAUGACCAGCCACACGGGAACUGAGACACGGGCCAGACGCAUACGGGAGGCAGCAGUGGGGAAUAUUGCACAAUGGGCGCAAGCCUGAUGCAGCCAUGCCGCGUGUAUGAAGAAGGCCUUCGGGUUGUAAAGUACUUUCAGCGAGGAGGCGUUACUCGCAGAAGAAGCACCGGCUAACUCCGUGCCAGCAGCCGCGGUAAUUC